rnacentral:tRNA from 1 species
GCGGGUGUGGUGAAACUGGUAGACGCGCAGGAUUCAAAAUCCUGUUCCGCAAGGAGUGUCGGUUCGAGCCCGACCACCCGCACCA